CCUACGGGAGGCAGCAGUGAGGAAUAUUGGUCAAUGGGCGAGAGCCUGAACCAGCCAAGUCGCGUGAGGGAUGACUGCCCUAUGGGUUGUAAACCUCUUUUCUCAGGGAGUAAAGUGAUUCACGUGUGGCUGUUUGCGCGUACCAGAUGAAUAAGGACCGGCUAACUCCGUGCAAGCAGCCGCGGUAAUACGGAGGUUCCGGGCGUUAUCCGGAUUUAUUGGGUUUAAAGGGAGGGUAGGCGGGGGUUCAAGUUUGGGGUCAAAUUUGGUGGCUCAACCCCGGAUUGCAGGUGAAACUGCAGCCCUUGAGUGCGCGAGAGGUAGGCGGAAUGCGUGGUGUAGCGGUGAAAUGCUUAGAUAUCACGAAGAACUCCGAUUGCGAAGGCAGCAUACCGGCGCGCAACUGACGCUGAUGCUCGAAAGCGUGGGUAUCGAACAGGAUUAGAUACCCGAGUAGUC
rnacentral:rRNA from 1 species